rnacentral:rRNA from 1 species
GCCCUACGGGGCGCAGCAGGCGCGAAACCUCUGCAAUGCGGGAAACCGUGACAGGGGGAUUCCAAGUGCUCAUGCAUUGCAUGGGCUGUUCUUUGGUCUAAGUAACCAGAGGAGUAAGGGCUGGGCAAGACCGGUGCCAGCCGCCGCGGUAAUACCGGCAGCUCGAGUGGUAGCCGCGAUUAUUGGGCCUAAAACGUUCGUAGCCGGAUAAGUAAGUCUUUGGUUAAAUCCUACGACUUAACCGUGGGAAAUC